rnacentral:rRNA from 1 species
UACGAAGGGGGCUAGCGUUGCUCGGAAUCACUGGGCGUAAAGGGCGCGUAGGCGGCGUUUUAAGUCGGGGGUGAAAGCCUGUGGCUCAACCACAGAAUGGCCUUCGAUACUGAGGCGCUUGAGUAUGGUAGAGGUUGGUGGAACUGCGAGUGUAGAGGUGAAAUUCGUAGAUAUUCGCAAGAACACCGGUGGCGAAGGCGGCCAACUGGACCAUUACUGACGCUGAGGCGCGAAAGCGUGGGGAGCAAACAGG